UAGUAUUGCAUCAUCAUCAAAAUUAUUAGGCAGAGGGUCGUAUACAUUUUGGAUAAUUCCUUCAACCGCGUUAUCUUCAGUAGUUGGACUCUGUACAGCAGAGCCACCCCCGGUGCGGAACAUUUCCUGCCUCACAAUGGUUUUUUGUUUUUUUGGCCCUUGUUUUGAGGUUUUUCCAGCAUUCUUUUAAUUGUUUUGUUGUACGAUUUCGUGUCGUUCGUCUGCAUUGAAUUUAGUGGUUAUUGCUGUCCAUGCACGUUGUUGCUUCUGCUAUCUGUUUUUUUUUUGUCCUCGACAACAUCCCUGUGUUCACUUAUAAUAGAAAUAAGUAUUUCUCGUUUAUAUGAGGAAUAAUUAUUACUACGGGCUGUCAUAACUGACAAAACCUAACAAAACAUGAAAAUGUGAAGGGGUGCAUGAAAUGUCCGCUUCGUGGAACAGCCUGGUUUAGCUGAGCCAGAUAAUGAUUUCGCACGUGAAAUAGGAUCUGAAAUGAAUCAUGGUUUAUUAUGAUCUCGGUUUAGUUGAUCUUGACCGAAGGUUUAAACCUAGCUGUUUUUAGCGGUCAACGAGAAAUCGGGCCCGGAGUCAGAGUGGGUGGAUCAUUAUCGGAUUAAGUCAUGAAGAGUUACGGCUUUCCACACUGCAUAAGAACCCUGUUCUAAACUCUAUGGGACCUACAUGAACGAUGGCAUCUAAAUGAUUCCGAAGACUGGCAUAUCACAGGAAGAAAACAAUAAUGUGGAUCACCUAGAUUCUGAAUGGUGCAAUAAUAAAAAUAAUCUCCAGACUGAAAA